GGGUUCAUGGUCUAGUUGGUUAUGACGUCGCCCUUACAAGGCGAAGAUCCCCAGUUCGAAUCUGGGUGAACCCA
rnacentral:tRNA from 1 species